GCUACAAGAGAAACCCUGUCUCGAAAAACAAAACAAAACAAAACAAACAAACAAAAAAAGAUAUCUACUAUGAUGUUACUAUAAUAAUAUGAUCAGUUAGUAAAUAGUGACUGUUGAUUAAACAAAAGAAAUAGUUUCUUUUUCCUCUUCUGGGGACGGUGCUAAGAGGCACUCCGAAUGGUCCAGCAUUUGACAAACUCUCGUAGGCUUUCCUACAAUAUAGCCUCUAACAAAACCUGGCUGUCUCGAACCCCGGGUAAUAGGAUUGUUUACCUUUACACCAAGAAGGCUGGGAAAGCACCUAAAUCCACAUGUGGUGUGCACCCAGGCAGGCAGACUUCCACUGUUCAUGUCAUAAAACCCAAAGUCCCUAUGAAAUGGUCUAAAACAAAGAGGCAGUCAUCAGGGCCUACUGUGACCCCAUGAGUACUAUGGGUACCUGUUACAGGAUAGGGUAUGCCUCCUUACUGAGGGGCAGAAAAUCGUUGUGAAAGUGUUGAAGGCACAAACACGCAAUCAGAAAGACAUCUAAGAAAUCUUUGCUAGGAUCUUUAAAAUUCUGAUAUCCAGACCCAUGUACAAAGGAGGUGUGUUUUCCCAACAUGUGCCUAAGGUCAUGCUUAAGUUUUCUUCAAUCUGAAUGCUUGUUGAGAGGCAACUUGAAUGACUGCAAAUAUAGCUAUAUAGCCUGGCCCAAUGCCUGAUGGAUAAUAGUUGCACAAUAAAUUCUAUUAGCUCUCUGUACAGAGCGUCAGCCCUGAGCCAGGCCAUGCUUUUGGGAAAAUUAUCAUCGUUCUCAAAGUAAGAAAUGCUGUAAAUCUUUUGAAAAGUUAUGGUAAGCUGGGGCAAUAAGCACCAAGCAUGUGGCACUCCAUUUCUAUCUUUCCUGACUCGUGGCAGGCAUUGCUAGCUGAUCAUGGGCCUUUGAACCUGACUUUAGCUGUAGAAUCUUUUCAGUAAAAGCUGUAACUGUUUGCUACCUCCAGGGAAAAGAGGCCAGUGUGGAGAAAUGCUUUCUUAUUUUGUUUCAAGGUAAGGUUGCAUAGUUUUCAGGUGUCAUUCAAUUCCUCUGAACCUGUGUUAACCCAUGGCUGAAGCAGACUGUCAUCUCGCAGAACCUUCCCACACAGCUGGUGAAGGGACCAGCUCCCCAUCAUUCCUCAAUCUAAGGGCCUUUCACUAGGAAUGAGGAAGUGAUUGGAAGAUGUGAGCGCCCCGUCAUUCACCAAAAAACCAAAGGCCCACCUCUGCCUGUAGGAGAGUUCCACCAAGGCAUAUUCAAGACAGAGAGGAUCUGGGCUGAGUGUGGGGUUUUUGUUUGUUUGGUUUGGUUAUUUGUUUGUUUGUUUGUUUUUUAACAGAGUCUGGCUGGUGGACCAUGCUGGCCUCACACUCACUCUUGUCAUCUUGCCUCUACCUCCAGGUAGGACCUGGUCUCAGAAGGGCUUUUCUUGAGCCAGUGAGAUGGCCCAACAGGUGAAAACCUGAGGAGCUGGAGUUCAGUCCCCAGAACUCCAUGGUAGAAUGCCAGCCAGGGCUAUGAAGUGCAACCCUCACCCCCAUUACAUUAAAAUAAAUAAAAAAGUGAAUGCAGUAACAUUUUCAAAAAGGUUUUCUUCUUACAGAUAAGGAAGAGGAAAAGAGAAGAGAAAGCAGUGAGAGAGAAGGAGAAGACAGCCUGGAGGCAGAGGCACCAGGCUCCUAGCAGGUGCACAAAUCCCAGGAUUUAUAUGGAGGCAGCCCAACACACAACUGAAAACUUACUCCAAAUAUGAAGCCAGCUGAUUACCUCCAGAUGCCUGGCCUUGGUGGGGAAUAGUUCCCAGUUUGUGUAACAAUAGACCCAGGCCCCUGGUUGGAUGCACACCUGUCCCGCACGAUAGUCUCGCCGGCAAGAACCACACAGGACAUUCGGAUCCUUCUGCAGUAAAGCUUUAAUGCGUCUUGAGAGGAGAGCAUAAGCUUACCAGAGCGGAGACCCCGAGCCAAGAAUCCCAUCCCCUAAUAAA